AAGCUCGUAGUUGGAUUUGGGUCGACCGGGCCGCCGGGCCGCCGCCCCCGUGCGGCGAGUUCCCGUGCGUCCCCGGGACCGCACGUUCACCCCCGCGGUGCUCUUGACUGAGUGUCCGCGGUAGCGGGUGACCGAACGUUUACCUUGACAAAACCGGAGUGCUCGAGGCGUGGGCGUUCGCCGCCCGUACGUCCUCGCUGGGAAUAAUGGAAGAGGACCGUUGGUCAAAAAAGGUUUUUCGUCAAGAGAGGUGGGAGAGCAAAAAGGAGGUUGUUCUGGCGGGGGGUUACAAAGGGGGGCGACUCCCUUUCCCCCUCUGGUCUUCCUCUUUCUCCUCCUCGAAACCUUCCUCCCCGCGUACCGCACUGGGGAAGCGGCUGGCGCUUUUCGGCGGGAAGGGCGGUUUGAGACAGAAAGGUGAAAGCGGGUGACCGCUGCCGGAAGGCGAAAGCUGGAUGGCCGGUCGUCAGUGGAAGCCUGGAAUCUUACUCCCCCUCACUGUCGUGGUGCUUCCGUACCCUCGGUGUCAGCGGGAGGAGGUCGAAAAUCAAAAUAAAUAUAACGUGUCAUGAUUAAGAGGGACGGCCGGGGGCAUUCGUACCGCGGCGCGAGAGGUGAAAUUCUAGGACCGUCGCGAGACGAACGAUAGCGAAAGCAUUUGCCAAGAAUGUUUUCCUUAAUCAAGAACGAAAGUCGGAGGUUCGAAGGCGAUCAGAUACCGCCCUAGUUCCGACCUUAAACCAUGCCGUCCGACCGCCCGCCAGGGUUACUACCGCGACUCGGCGGGCGGUGACUUUCCACCGGGAAACCCUUAAGCUUUCGGGUUCCGGGGGAAGUACGGUCGCAAAGCUGAAACUUAAAGGAAUUGACGGAAGGGCACCACCAGGAGUGGAGCCUGCGGCUUAAUUUGACUCAACACGGGGAACCUCACCCGGCCCGGACACCGCGAGGAUUGACAGAUCGAUAGCUCUUUCUCGAUCCGGUGGGUGGUGGUGCAUGGCCGUUCUUAGUUGGUGGAGCGAUCUGUCUGGUUAAUUCCGAUAACGAACGAGACUCUAGCCGGUUAAGUAGCCCGAGUGGCGUGUUGUUGAUUUAAAAACCGCCCUAGCGGCAUUCGGGGUGUUUCUCGGAAGCUGUCUGGCUUUAACGGUGAUGGGACGGGGGAGGUGGAAGACGACGGUUGGAGCCGCGUGCGUCGCGGCUCGGAUCUAGUUUUUUUAACUUCCCUUUAAUCCUGUCUCGUUUCGGCCUUUCACUUUUGGGAGCCUCCGUUUGCUUACCUGGGGUAGAUAAAACGCUAACGAGAGUCGGGGGCAGUGGACGUUACUCGUGGAAUGGGUGGGCGCUCCUUAGCGGUGYGUCCCUCUUCCCGGUUUCGCUUUUCUGCUUUCCUCGUCGUCUCGCGCCACCGGCUUUCGAGUGCAAAAGCUUCUUAGAGGGACGAGCGGCGUUCAGCCGCGCGAGAUUGAGCGAUAACAGGUCUGUGAUGCCCUUAGAUGUCCGGGGCCGCACGCGCGCUACACUGAAGGGGUCAACGCGCCAUUACGUUUCCCGGGCCGAAAGGCUCGGGGAACCGGUGGAACCCCGACGUAGCGUUCGUGCUAGGGACAGGGACUUGCAAUUGUGUCCCUCGAACGAGGAAUUCCCAGUAGGCGCGAGUCAUCAGCUCGCGCCGAUUACGUCCCUGCCCUUUGUACACACCGCCCGUCGCUACUACCGAUCGAACGAUUUAGCGAGGUCUUCGGACCGGCGGCCGAAGGUGCGCGAGCGCCGGCGGCU
rnacentral:rRNA from 1 species